GACGAACGCUGGCGGCGUGCUUAACACAUGCAAGUCGAGCGGUAAGGCCCUUUCGGGGGUACACGAGCGGCGAACGGGUGAGUAACACGUGGGUGACCUGCCCUCAGCUCUGGGAUAAGCCUGGGAAACCGGGUCUAAUACUGGAUAUGACUCCAUGACGCAUGUUGUGGGGUGGAAAGCCUUGUGCGGCUGAGGAUGGGCCCGCGGCCUAUCAGCUUGUUGGUGGGGUGAUGGCCUACCAAGGCGACGACGGGUAGCCGGCCUGAGAGGGCGACCGGCCACACUGGGACUGAGACACGGCCCAGACUCCUACGGGAGGCAGCAGUGGGGAAUCUUGCGCAAUGGGCGAAAGCCUGACGCAGCGACGCCGCGUGAGGGAUGACGGCCUCGGGUUGUAAACCUCUUUCAGCUCCGCGAAGCGAGAGUGACGGUAGGAGCAGAAGAAGCACCGG
rnacentral:rRNA from 1 species